UGGGGAAUAUUGCACAAUGGACGGAAGUUUGAUGCAGCGACGCCGCGUGGAGGGUGUAGGCCUUCGGGUUGUGAACUCCUUUUUCUCGCGAAAAAGGCACAGUUUUGGCUGUGUUGAUGGUAGUGGGGGAAGAAGCGCCGGCUAACUACGUGCCAGCAGCCGCGGUAAUACGUAGGGCGCGAGCGUUGUCCGGAUUUAUUGGGCGUAAAGAGCUCGUAGGUGGUUCGUCGCGUCUGGCGUGAAAGCCAGCAGCUUAACUGUUGGUCUGCGGUGGGUACGGGCGGGCUUGAGUGCGGUAGGGGUGACUGGAAUUCCUGGUGUAGCGGUGGAAUGCGCAGAUAUCAGGAGGAACACCGAUGGCGAAGGCAGGUCACUGGGCCGUUACUGACACUGAGGAGCGAAAGCGUGGGGAGCGAACAGG
rnacentral:rRNA from 1 species